rnacentral:lncRNA from 1 species
CUAGUGGUUAGGGGGAGGUGGGGUAGCCUAGUGGUUAGGGGAGGUGGGGUAGCCUAGUGGUUAGAGGGGGAGGCGGGGUAGCCUAGUUGUUAGAGGAGGCAGGUAGCCUAGUGGUUUGGGGGUGGCAGGGUAGCCUAGUGGUUAGGGGAGGAGGGGUAGUCUAGUGGUUAGGGGAGGUGGGGUAGCCUAGUGGUUAGAGGGGGGGAGGCAGGUAGCCUAGUGGUUAGAGGAAGCGGGGUAGCCUAGUGGUUAGGGGAGGCGGGGUAGCCUAGUGGUUAGGGGAGGCGGGGUAGCCUAGUGGUUAGGGGAGGCGGGGUAGCCUAGUGGUUAGGGGUGGCGGGGUAGCCUAGUGGUUAGGGGUGGCGGGGUAGCCUAGUGGUUAGGGGAGGUGGGGUAGCCUAGUGGUUAGGGGAGGCGGGGUAGCCUAGUGGUUAGGGGUGGCGGGGUAGCCUAGUGGUUAGAGGGGGGAGGCAGGUAGCCUAGUGGUUAGGGGUGGCGGGGUAGCCUAGUGGUUAGGGGAGGCGGGGUAGCCUAGUGGUUAGGGGAGGCGGGGUAGCCUAGUGGUUAGGGGAGGUGGGGUAGCCUAGUGGUUAGGGGAGGCGGGGUAGCCUAGUGGUUAGGGGAGGCGGGGUAGCCUAGUGGUUAGGGAUGGCGGGGUAGCCUAGUGGUUAGGGGAUGCGGGGUAGCCUAGUGGUUAGGGGAGGUGGGGUAGCCUAGUGGUUAGGGGAGGCAGGUAGCCUAGUUGUUAGAGGGGGGAGGCGGGGUAGCCUAGUGGUUAGGGGAGGUGGGGUAGCCUAGUGGUUAGAGGGGGAGGCGGGGUAGCCUAGUGGUUAGAGGGGAGAGGCGGGGUAGCCUAGUGGUUAGGGGAGGAGGGGUAGCCUAGUUGUUAGAGGAGGCAGGUAGCCUAGUGGUUAGGGGUGGUGGGGUAGCCUAGUGGUUAGAGGGGGAGGCGGGGUAGCCUAGUGGUUAGAGGGGAGAGGCGGGGUAGCCUAGUGGUUAGGGGAGGAGGGGUAGCCUAGUUGUUAGAGGAGGCAGGUAGCCUAGUGGUUAGGGGUGGUGGGGUAGCCUAGUGGUUAGGGGAGGAGGGGUAGCCUAGUGGUUAGAGGGGAGAGGCGGGGUAGCCUAGUGGUUAGGGGUGGCGGGGUAGCCUAGUGGUUAGAGGGGGGAGGCGGGGUAGCCUAGUGGUUAGAGGAGGCAGGGUAGCCUAGUGGUUAGAGGGGAGAGGCGGGGUAGCCUAGUGGUUAGGGGAGGCGGGGUAGCCUAUUGGUUAGGGGAGGCGGGGUAGCCUAGUGGUUAGAGGGGGGAGGCGGGGUAGCCUAGUGGUUAGGGGAGGUGGGGUAGCCUAGUGGUUAGAGGGGGAGGCGGGGUAGCCUAGUUGUUAGAGGAGGCAGGUAGCCUAGUGGUUAGGGGUGGCAGGGUAGCCUAGUGGUUAGGGGAGGAGGGGUAGUCUAGUGGUUAGGGGAGGUGGGGUAGCCUAGUGGUUAGGGGAGGUGGGGUAGCCUAGUGGUUAGGGGAGGCGGGGUAGCCUAGUGGUUAGGGGAGGCGGGGUAGCCUAGUGGUUAGGGGAGGCGGGGUAGCCUAGUGGUUAGGGGAGGUGGGUAGCCUAGUGGUUAGGGGUGGCGGGGUAGCCUAGUGGUUAGGGGAGGAGGGGUAGCCUAGUGGUUAGAGGAGGAGGGGUAGCCUAGUGGUUAGAGGAGGUGGGUAGCCUAGUGGUUAGGGGAGGAGGGGUAGUCUAGUGGUUAGGGGAGGUGGGGUAGCCUAGUGGUUAGAGGGGGAGGCGGGGUAGCCUAGUGGUUAGGGGUGGCAGGGUAGCCUAGUGGUUAGGGGAGGAGGGGUAGUCUAGUGGUUAGGGGAGGUGGGGUAGCCUAGUGGUUAGAGGGGGGAGGCAGUUAGACUAGUGGUUAGAGGAAGCGGGGUAGCCUAGUGGUUAGGGGAGGUGGGUAGCCUAGUGGUUAGGGGAGGCGGGGUAGCCUAGUGGUUAGGGGUGGCGGGGUAGCCUAGUGGUUAGGGGUUGCGGGGUAGCCUAGUGGUUAGGGGAGGUGGGGUAGUCUAGUGGUUAGGGGAGGCGGGGUAGCCUAGUGGUUAGAGGAGGUGGGGUAGCCUAGUGGUUAGAGGAGGUGGGGUAGCCUAGUGGUUAGGGGAGGCAGGGUAGCCUAGUGGUUAGAGGAGACGGGGUAGCCUAGUGGUUAGAGGAGGCGGGGUAGCCUAGUGGUUAGAGGAGGCGGGGUAGCCUAGUGGUUAGGGGAGGCAGGGUAGCCUAGUGGUUAGGGGUAAGGGGGAGCCUAGUGGUUAGAGGGGGGAGGCAGGUAGCCUAGUUUUUAGGGGGUGGCGGGGUAGCCUAGUGGUUAGUGGAGGCGGGGUAGCCUAGUGGUUAGGGGAGGCGGGGUAGCCUAGUGGUUAGGGGAGGCGGGGUAGCCUAGUGGUUAGGGGAGGUGGGGUAGCCUAGUGCUUAGGGGUGGCGGGGUAGCCUAGUGGUUAGGGGAGGUGGUGUAGCCUAGUGGUUAGGGGAGGUGGGGUAGCCUAGUGGUUAGGGGAGGCGGGGUAGCCUAGUGGUUAGGGGAGGCGGGGUAGCCUAGUGGUUAGGGGAGGUGGGGUAGCCUAGUGGUUAGGGGAGGUGGGUAGCCUAGUGGUUAGGGGUGGCGGGGUAGCCUAGUGGUUAGUGGAGGUGGGUAGCCUAGUGGUUAGGGGUGGCGGGGUAGCCUAGUGGUUAGGGGUGGCGGGGUAGCCUAGUGGUUAGAGGGGGGAGGCAGGUAGCCUAGUGGUUAGAGGGGGGAGGCAGGUAGCCUAGUGGUUAGAGGGGGAGGCAGGGUAGCCUAGUGGUUAGGGGCGGCGGGGUAAAAGCGUUGGACUAGUAACCGAUAGGUUGCUCGAUGGAAUCCCCGAGCUGACAAGGUAAAAAUCUGUCGUUCUGCUCCUGAACAAGGCAGUUAACCCACUGUUGCCCCCGUAGGCCGUCAUUGAAAAUAAGAAUUUGUUCUUAACUGACUUGCCUAGUAAAAUAAUUAUUUUUAAAUAAAUGUGUAUGCAGAAAUAAAAAGCACUGGGGAGCAGCAUUAUAACAUGUGCCAGCCAUCCAGUCCUUUAGUAUGUCUUAGCUCCAGUAUUCUCCAGUUUUAGGAUUAGCAUAUCAGUCUCCUUUUUCUUCAUGCGUUGAUGUGAGGUCUUCCUAGCUACAGAUCAGGAAGUAUUACAGUCUGGGACGGUAUUGUUAUCAUUGCCAAAUGCCUUGGGGAAGCUCUCUCUCUCUCUGUACUCCUGAACCCUGUACAUGACACCUGUGAUCAUUAUUACAACUUAAACCCUGUGAAUCACACAGAAAUGAUAACUCCAGUCAUACGGUAAUGCUGAUGACUCCGAUAUCCCCUUUAGAUGAAGACACACGGAUACACGCUACACACACACACACACACAGGAGAUGAACUCCCGGGGACCUCUCUCUGAUGAUGAAGGGAUGAUUCAACCAUCCCAGCAGCUCUCUCUUCACUUCACCGCUGCACACACACACUGCACACACACACACACACACCGCACACAUAUUGCACAGACACACACACUGCACACACGUUGCACACACACACACACUGCACACACAUUGCACACACACACACACACACACACACUGCAUACACACACACCACACACACUGCACACACAUACACACACACACACACACACACACUUCACAGACACACACACUACAUACAAACUACCUACACACACACUUCACACUACACACAACACUACACACAACACACU